rnacentral:rRNA from 1 species
AGUGAACGCUGGCGGUAGGCCUAACACAUGCAAGUCGAACGGCAGCACAGUAAGAGCUUGCUCUUACGGGUGGCGAGUGGCGGACGGGUGAGGAAUACAUCGGAAUCUACUUUUUCGUGGGGGAUAACGUAGGGAAACUUACGCUAAUACCGCAUACGACCUACGGGUGAAAGCAGGGGAUCUUCGGACCUUGCGCGAUUGAAUGAGCCGAUGUCGGAUUAGCUAGUUGGCGGGGUAAAGGCCCACCAAGACGACGAUCCGUAGCUGGUCUGAGAGGAUGAUCAGCCACACUGGAACUGAGACACGGUCCAGACUCCUACGGGAGGCAGCAGAGGGGAAUAUUGGACAAUGGGCGCAAGCAUGAUCCAGCAAUACCGCGUGGGUGAAGAAGGACUUCGGGUUGUAAAGCCCUUUUGUUGGGAAAGAAAAGCAGCAGGUUAAUACCCCGCUGUUCUGACGGUACCCAAAGAAUAAGCACCGGCUAACUUCGUG